rnacentral:lncRNA from 1 species
AGUAUUUAGGUGAAUUUCACAUAUUAUUUUAUCCUGCUGUAAUGGUAAACACUUGUAGUUUCCAACUGCACAUCCACUUCCCCUUCUCUUAUCAGAUUCUGAUUUUCUUCCAGGUACUGGUAUGCCAGUAAUAAAAUACUAAGAUAAAAUACUUAAAAAUAAAAAUAUGUAUUUCCCAACCUUUCAUGUACCUGGAAGUAGCCAUUUCACACAGUUCUGGCAGUGAUAGGAGAAUGGAAGUCUCUAGAAAGAAUGUCCACAUAACAAAAAAAGAAAAUGCUCAAGGAGAAGGCUUGUUUGGCCCUUUCUUCUCCUCUCUCUCUCUCUCUCUCCCCCCUUUCUUUCUUUCUUUCUUUCUUUCUUUCUUUCUUUCUUUCUUUCUUUCUUUCUUUCUUUCUUUCUUUCUUUCUUCUUCUCUUUCUUUCACCUCUUUCAAGAAUCACAUAAAGAGUCUUCUACAAUUUAUCAAGCAAAAACCAAAAAGAUCCUCACCACCACUGCAACACAAAGAAACAAAGGAAAUGGGAAACAGGGAAUUGUCCCGUUCUGACUUUGGGCAAUUGUUGCCAGUUGAGGCAGAUUUUACCUCUGAGGGCAUUUGGUGAUGUCUGAAAUAGUCUCAGUUGUCAUAACUGGAUGGGUAGGGUGUGCUACUGGUACCUAAUGAGUAGAAGCCAGAAACAUUACUAAAACAUCCUAAAAUGAAGCAGAUAAUCCCUGUCCCCCAAUAAAGACAAAGGCUUAUCUGGCCCAAAUGACUAUAGUGCCAGCUGAAAAAUCCUAACCUAGAGCAGUCUUGUCAUGUUUCUUGGGCCUAGAAAGCAGCCACAGAAGCAAGAAGCACAGCAGCGAUCCUAAGACCAUAAGGAGAAGAGCACCAAGGUGAAGAAAGAAGUCUUAUUCUUUGACUAAAUGUUUAUUUAAGCAACUGUCUCUUCCUGAGUUUUUAUUGUGUGAGAUAAAUAAACCCUUAUUUGCUUAAACCACGGGUAGCCAGGUUUUCUGUUGCCUCAGAGCCAAACUGUAUUUCUAAAUAAUACAUUUGUCAUUCACUUAUGGUCCACUUUAUGUUCAGACAUGGGGUUAAACAUUUUGAAUAAACUGAUAAAUCAGGUACAGUUUGGUGUUUUUGUUUUGUUUUGUUUUGUUUUGUUUUUUUACCUCUGGGAACUUACUAUCCACUGAGGAAGCCAAGCAUCAGGCCAAGCAAAGGUGGGCUGCUCCUGGUGUAAACAACACAUUGUGGGAACUCAGAGUAAGGAUUCAGGAAUGAAGCAGGAUGGGGCAGGAAAGAACACUCUAAGGAAAUAAAAUGUUCUAUCCUACAAUGGGGGGGGGGGGUGGCAGGGAUGGGUGGAAGCCAUCCUUGAAGAAACAUUAGUAUAAAUGGAGUUCAGAAGAUAAAAUGUCCUGUACUAUUGAGGAAAAUAACAAGUAAGAGCCUCGUGAAUGAAAUAAAGAGUAAGUUGGGGAGGAGUUCUAGGUGGAAAGUAUUUUAAUCUAAAAAGUAAAGUUGGGGAGUAAAUUGUACAAAGAAUAGCAAACCAUCUGCAUUCGAGACACUAACAUUCAAGCUAUAAGGAACCAUUUGGCUACUGUUAACAAGAGAUUGGCAAGACCAGACCUGCGUUUUAGGAAACAAAAUAAGUGUGGUGAACUGGACUUGGAGGAUUCCAUCUACAAAUAAUUAAAAUAUGACUGAGGAAUCAUAUCUUCCUGUUUACAAUCUAGUAAGAUGGAAAGAGACCCCAAACCUCACUUCAAAACACUUUAAAAUGUGACAAAAGCGUAGUGUUGAGCUGUUGCGGCCUCACAUCUCACUGUUAAUGCCAAUUGUGUUUUGCUUACAGAAACCACAAAUUGGUUUCCGUUAGGUAAUUCAUAAAAUAAUUCCUUUGUUUAAAGAAUUUAAGAAAGGAUUCUAGAAAUAAACGAUUACAGUGCUUUGCUAUAAAUGUUCAAAAUUAUUUGUUUCAAUAGGUGGAAACCCAGAGAGGCAUCUGUCAAUCACGCCUAAAUCUGUAUCAGUCCUACCCCACGCGCAAAGCUGUCAAUAACUUGUAUGGAAAGGAACUGUUUUCACUCAGAGAGAGCUUAGAUUUAUAUCCGUAGUCUGUAGUCACAGCUAUUUAAUCAUGCUGUAAAAAAAAAAAAAAAAAAAAAAAAAAAAAA